UAGGUACCUACACUUAAACGUCGAAAAUUAUUUCCUUCCCUCACAAUGAUUAUUGUUUUAAGUAUAUAAAGGACAGUCAAAGACUGCAUUCGUUAGUUCUCAAGCUACAGUGGUUUUAUAGUUAUUAGUGGCAACUAAGUACAGUAACCAUGAUGAAAUAUUGUACAUUGCUGGUACUAAGCGCAUUCGUGUGCAUUUCGUUAGCGUGUAUUGGGCUGGAGGACCCCAUCUGUGGCACAGACGGUAGAACGUACACCAAUGAAUGCACCUUUGAUAGAGCCAGGAAAUUCAAUCCAAGUUUACAAAUAAAAACCAAAGGUAAAUGCGGUCGAACGCUUCGAUCCUUGCCGUGUACUGAGGAAGUCAAUGAGUUUUGUGGCACUGACGGUGUUACGUAUAAAAACUUGUGCUACUACAAUGAAGCAGCCAAAACUGGCAAUAUCGAAAUGAAGCAUCGCGGACCGUGUGAUACAGACUCAACCAAAAACGCAAGCGAGGAACUGAAACAAACGAAUGCCGCAGUAAGGAGCCCGCGAGCAGCCAAACCAGGUUGCCCAUGUACUCGCGAGAAGAACGAAAUGUGUGGGACGGAUGGGGCUACCUACCCCAACCCUUGUACACUGCGAUGCGCCACGAAGUACAAUGGCGUUAAGCUACUUCACCAAGGACCGUGUAAGAAGUAACAGAGCGAGAGAUACUGCGUGACCUCCCUUUUUAGAAAGGUUUAAAUUCAUUAUUUUGCUUACUAAUACUCUAUUCUGUGUACCUACCUACUUCUUCUUAAUUGGCCACGCUAACGGCAUUGUCAGUAGCUUCGUGAAGGUCUUUAAUAGUGCGUAGUUCUAUCGUUGAACUAGUGAGAGCACUUAGGACAAAUACCUACCUAUUUAUUUCUAAAAUAAAUGUUUUUCAAAGUACCUACUAUGUAUAAUCAGGCGUGGACUGAGACCUGAAACCGGCACGGGCAUUUGAGAGACGAACGGGACAACGGUCCUUAACACAAAACCAUAAGGAAUACUUAUGGAACGGAAACUCCGCUCCUCACCACCGUCUGAGCUAGGUUUACCUCACCCCCGCCGGACGUAGACCAAUCUGUCUGUUUGGGCAAAGGCCUCCCCCAUUUUUCUCCAUUCUUCUUUGUUGUGUACUAAUCUGAUCCAGGUCUUAGUGUGUCCAGCCAUUGGAAUUAUUACGGCUUCUCAUUAAUUACUAAGUAAUUAUAUUUUACUUAUUUUACAUCAUAAUUGUACUCGUAUAUCAAACAUUAACAACUAAGGCAAUUACGAAAAUUAAAACUUAAAGACUUAUAUUGACAAUUACAGUGUACAUAGCAUAUACAAAUGAAAAAUGAAAAAUUUAGUUAACAAAGCAUGCUUUAUUUACCUAUGAAUAAAUUAUGAAAUUAC